AAGGCAGCAUGGUGACUCAAGGGGUCUCCACCUUGGGGACCUGCUUCUUCCUCUGAAAUGGGUCUCUGUUUACAUGGAUUCAGGAGAACCAAACAUACCUCUGGAUCGAGCCUCAGGAGUCCUGGAUCCCCACACCCCCUUUGUAACUUGCCUCCUCAUAACCACACCCUAUUGCAGUGCUCUUCUCCCGAAGCAGGAAUAGCGGCCCAGCUCUGCAUUCUCUGUCGGCUGUCUCGAGCAUCGUGUGUAGAUAAAAACGAAGCAGGAGGCAGGGGUGAUGGAGGUGCCACCGUGAAAGGGCUGCGUGGCGAAGGCAUAGACUGCAGUAGUUGGAAAGGACUUCGGCGAUGCUCUAGUCAGUUUGAAGCCUGGAAUGGUACCUGGGUCUGGCGGUUCCUGGCUCAAGUUCAAUCUAAGGAGACCAGGGGCACCCAUCACUGCAGUUCCAGGACCAGGGGCGUCACUGGACUGGUGAAUUCGUCCUGGUGGGUGGAUGGGGUCCCCGUGGCUGAGCGGCACAUGUCCCAGCUGGACACUGUUUGCCAAGAGCCAAAAUGGAACUGACUCAGAGUUAAGCCCAUCCUCGAGACACCAAAUAAAAUAAAUGUUUUGAAAUCA